CCUACGGGAGGCAGCAGUGAGGAAUAUUGGUCAAUGGACGAGAGUCUGAACCAGCCAAGUAGCGUGAAGGAUGACUGCCCUAUGGGUUGUAAACUUCUUUUAUAUGGGAAUAAAAUGUUCCACGUGUGGGAUUUUGUAUGUACCAUAUGAAUAAGGAUCGGCUAACUCCGUGCCAGCAGCCGCGGUAAUACGGAGGAUCCGAGCGUUAUCCGGAUUUAUUGGGUUUAAAGGGAGCGUAGGUGGAUUGUUAAGUCAGUUGUGAAAGUUUGCGGCUCAAACGUAAGAUUGCAGUUGAAACUGGCAGUCUUGAGUACAGUAGAGGUGGGCGGAAUUCGUGGUGUAGCGGUGAAAUGCUUAGAUAUCACGAAGAACUCCGAUUGCGAAGGCAGCUCACUGGACUGCAACUGACACUGAGGCUCGAAAGUGUGGGUAGCAAACAGGAUUAGAUACCCUAGUAGUC
rnacentral:rRNA from 1 species